AUUAUAACAGAAAAAGAAGGAACCCUAGUAACUGAGCACAACACAGCCGCUGGAUAUCAUCACCAGUGGCCAAUGAUUGCCCUACACCAUCACCCUCUUCCCCUCUCAUCACUCUUCCCUUUCUCCUCUCGCUGCCAUGUCAAUCGGAAACAUACAGGACGAAACCAGAUCUGGCCGAACUUUCAUACUUCGGCGACCCUUUGAGCUUUGUUCCCCCUAGCGUCGUUCUGGUGUUACUCGCUAUGGUAGCGACGCCGGAUUUGUCACAUCUAGACGGAUAGAGAUAGACACAGGUAGAGAAAGUUCUGGAGAGUGACAUAGAGGAAGAUAAUUUUCCGAAAAUGCCAUCUUCAUGACUUUCUUUCCCCAUUAACGUUGCCAUGUGACACCAUUUCUCCAUUACACUACCAACAACGACUAUUUUACCAUGAAAACUAACCAACAACACACCUGCUCACAUAACUUUCUUUUUCAUUUGUCUUAAACCACUUGAAAAUGUAACCUGAACACAUAGAUCCACAAUCUGUUCGUUCCUAUUUCAAUUGUCUUAAGCUCAGGCACACUCAUAGACUAGAAAAUUGGUCCAAGUUACUGGUUUUGUUUUGAAUGUUUGAGCCUUACCGAAAUAAGCAUUCUUCAGGGUUGUUGGGUCCGUUGAGGUGUUAUUUGAGGUCGUUGGUCAAGCUCCAGUUCGAAGGCUGAUUCAAAACUCCGUUUCAGAUUAAAGGUAUGGAUCCAUUUACUAAAGCUCAAGCAUGAAAGACGCUCCAGGACCAUCUAGUCAGGACCACUGCAUUCAGGAGCUGCUUAAGGAGCUUUUUUAUGUUUUGAGUCUGUUUUUAUAUUUGUCUUUUACUUUGCAGUCUUGUCCAGUAGUAUUGCAUCUUUUAGAUGAUGUAAGAGUCUAUCAUAGUCUAGUUGAGUUUGUUGAUUCUUUUGUUAUCGUACUUCCUGUUUUGUAUUUGAAAAACCAAAAAAAUUAUAAAUGAAAAAUCCAAAAAGAUUCUUGUUUUUUAGUUUA